rnacentral:rRNA from 1 species
AGAACGAACGCUGGCGGCAGGCUUAACACAUGCAAGUCGAACGGGCACCUUCGGGUGUCAGUGGCAGACGGGUGAGUAACGCGUGGGAACGUACCCUUCGGUUCGGAAUAACCCGGGGAAACUCGGGCUAAUACCGGAUACGUCCUUCUCUGGAGACAGAGGGGGAGAAAGAUUUAUCGCCGAAGGAUCGGCCCGCGUCGGAUUAGCUAGUUGGUGGGUAAUGGCCCACAAGGCGACGAUCCGUAGCUGGUCUGGAGAGGAUGAUCAGCCACACGUGGGACUGAGACACGGCCAGACUCCUACGGGAGCAGCGAGUGGGGAAUAGUU